GGGGGGGGGUACUUUUUAUUUGUUUGAUUUCUGAUUACAUUCAUCUUACGUAUUUACUCUGAAGUGGAAGUUUUAACUUUAUUUUAAUUUUCUGUAUUGGUUUUCCUUGAUACUUUCAUGAGUUUUCCAUUAUAUUUUCCAGAUCAAGUCCAGAAAGAAAUGGCUAGGAUGAUGGCUCUGUUCAAGGAUGAUUGGAGGAGAGAACAGUUCCAGAAUGAUGAUCUUCAAAAGAAAGUCGAUCAAGUCCAGAAAGAAAUGGCUAGGAUGAUGGCUCAGUUCAAGGAUGGUGAGUAAUGCUUAUCUCUCAGAAGUUGUCAUUCUUUUCUCUCUCUGAGAUUCUGCCCCCCACAAGCAAAGGGAUGCAGAAAUAUAGCAAAUAUGUUUAUAGUAGGCAAAGCAGCAUUGGAACCAUUGCCUCUGUAGAGUCCAGCACUUGGAAUAAAUUCCCUCUGAAGUGCA
rnacentral:lncRNA from 1 species